AGAGUUUGAUCCUGGCUCAGGAUGAACGCUGGCGGCGUGGAUAAGGCAUGCAAGUCGAACGGCCUGUGGCAACAUAGGCAGUGGCAAACGGGUUAGUAAUACGCGGGAAUUUACCCUGAAGUCGUGAAUAACCUCCCGAAAGGGAAGCUAAUACACGAUGGUCCCAUUCUUGUAAUGGGUAAAGAUUUUAUCGCUUCAGGAGGAGCUCGCGUCCUAUCAGCUAGUUGGCGGGGUAAUGGCUCACCAAGGCUAUGACGGGUAGGGGGUUCGAGAGGAUGGCCCCCAACAUUGGGACUGAGACACGGCCCAGACUCCUACGGGAGGCAGCAGCCGAGAAUAUUCCACAAUGGGCGAAAGCCUGAUGGAGCGACGCCGCGUGCAGGAAGACGUUCUUCGGAAUGUAAACUGCUUUUAUGAGGGAGAAAUUUUUGAUGUUACCUCAUGAAUAAGGGGUUGCUAAGCUCGUGCCAGCAGCAGCGGUAAUACGAGUACCCCUAGCGUUGUCCGGAUUUAUUGGGCGUAAAGCGUCUGUAGUUGGUUUGAAUAGUCAGAUGACAAAGCCCGGUGCUUAACACCGGAUCCUCAUUUGAAACGUUCAAACUAGAGCGCGGAAGAGGCAGAAGGAACUUACGGUGUAGGAGUGAAAUCCGUUGAUAUCGUAGGGAACACCAAAGGCGAAGGCAUUCUGCUGGGACGCCGCUGACAAUGAGAGACGAAAGCGUGGGUAGCGAAUGGGAUUAGAUACCCCAGUAGUCCACGCCCUAAACGAUGAAUACUAGCUGCUCGGGGAUUCGACCCUCUGAGUGGCGAAGCUAACGCGUUAAGUAUUCCGCCUGGGAAGUACGGCCGCAAGGCUAAAACUCAAAGGAAUAGACGGGGAUCCGCACAAGCGGUGGAUCAUGCGGUUUAAUUCGAAGCUACGCGAGGAACCUUACCGAGGCUAGAAACCAAGUUGAAAUCCUUCCGAAAGGUUGGACCCCGCAAGGCAGCUUGGCAGGCGCUGCAUGGUUGUCGUCAGCUCGUGCCGUGAGGUGUUCGGUUAAGUCCGGAAACGAGCGCAACCCUUGUCGUGUGUUGUAUUUUUCACGCGAGACCGCCUUGGUUAACAAGGAGGAAGGUGGGGACGACGUCAAAUCAGCAUGGCCCUUGACGCCUCGGGCGACACGCAUGAUACAAUGGCUGGUACAAAGGGUUGCAAAACCGAAAGGUGAAGCUAAUCCCAUCAAAACCAGUCUCAGUUCGGAUUGAGGGCUGCAACUCGCCCUCAUGAAGUUGGAAUCGCUAGUAAUCGUGAAUCAGCCACGUCACGAUGAAUACGUUCCCGGGUCUUGUACUCACCGCCCGUCACACCAAGAGAGUCGGUAAUACCUGAAGUCUCAUCUUCGUAUGGGCCUACGGUAGGACCGAUGAUAAGGGUGAAGUCGUAACAAGGCAUCCGUAGCGGAAGCUGUGGAUG
rnacentral:rRNA from 1 species